rnacentral:tRNA from 1 species
CGCGGGGUGGAGCAGCCAGGUAGCUCGUUGGGCUCAUAACCCAAAGGUCAUAGGUUCAAAUCCUAUCCCCGCAA